AAAGAGUAGGGAAGUGUGUGAGCCAUGCGUCAAGAAAAGCCGCUAUUGUUUUACUUAAGCCCGUACCGUAAACCGACACAGGUGGAUGAGGAGAGAAUCCUAAGGCCGACGGGAGAAGCAUUGUUAAGGAACUCGGCAAAAUGACUCCGUAACUUCGGGAGAAGGAGUGCCAGCGAGAGCUGGCCGCAGAGAAUUGGCCCAAGCAACUGUUUAGCAAAAACACAGGUCUAUGCAAAACCGUAAGGUGAAGUAUAUGGGCUGACGCCUGCCCGGUGCUGGAAGGUUAAGAGGAGAGGUUAGCGGCAACGCGAAGCUUUGAAUUUAAGCCCCAGUAAACGGCGGCCGUAACAAUAACGGUCCUAAGGUAGCGAAAUUCCUUGUCGGGUAAGUUCCGACCCGCACGAAAGGCGUAAUGAUUUGGGCACUGUCUCAACAAUGCACCCGGUGAAAUUGAAAUACCAGUGAAGAUGCUGGUUACCUGCGCCAGGACGGAAAGACCCCAUGGAGCUUUACUCCAGCUUGAUACUGGGAUUCGGUAUUGCAUGUACAGGAUAGGUGGGAGGCUAGGAAGUGAUAACGCCAGUUGUCACGGAGCCGCUGUUGGGAUACCACCCUCGCAGUAUUGGAUUUCUAACCAGCGACCAUGAACUGGUCGGGGGACAAUGUCAGGCGGGGAGUUUGACUGGGGCGGUCGCCUCCGAAAGGGUAUCGGAGGCGCUCAAAGGUUCCCUCAGAAUGGACGGAAACCAUUCGAAGAGUGCAAAGGCAGAAGGGAGCUUGACUGCGACACCGACGGGUGGAGCAGGUACGAAAGUAGGACUUAGUGAUCCGGUGGUAUAAAGUGGGAUUGCCAUCGCUCAACGGAUAAAAGCUACCCUGGGAUAACAGGCUUAUCACUCCCAAGAGUUCACAUCGACGGAGUGGUUUGGCACCUCGAUGUCGGCUCAUCGCAUCCUGGGGCUGAAGUAGGUCCCAAGGGUUGGGCUGUUCGCCCAUUAAAGCGGUACGCGAGCUGGGUUCAGAACGUCGUGAGACAGUUCGGUCCCUAUCCGGCGUGGGCGUAGGAUAUUUGAGAGGAGCUGUCCUUAGUACGAGAGGACCGGGAUGGACUGGCCGCUGGUGUAUCUGUUGCAUACCAAAUGCAUGGCAGAGUAGCCAAGCCGGGACGGGAUAAACGCUGAAGGCAUCUAAGCGUGAAGCCCCCCUCAAGAUGAGAUAUCCCUACGUAAGUAGUAAGACCCCUUGAAGACGACGAGGUAGAUAGGUCAGAGGUGGAAGUACAGUAAUGUAUGGAGCUGACUGAUACUAAUCGGUCGAGGGCAUGACCU
rnacentral:rRNA from 1 species